rnacentral:rRNA from 1 species
GACAGAGGAUGCAAGCGUUAUCCGGAAUGAUUGGGCGUAAAGCGUCUGUAGGUGGCUUUUUAAGUCCGCCGUCAAAUCCCAGGGCUCAACCCUGGACAGGCGGUGGAAACUACCAAGCUGGAGUACGGUAGGGGGCAGAGGGAAUUUUCCGGUGGAGGCGGUGAAAGUGCGUAGAGAUCGGAAAGAACACCAACGGCGAAAGCAGCUCUGCU